UCCGGUAGCCUAGUGGUUAGAAUGUCUGCUUUGGAUGCUGGAGGUCGUGGGUUCGAACCCUGGCCUAGUCAU